ensembl:lncRNA
AGAAGGUUAUAGCUUUAAAUUUGACUAUUUCUUAAGCAUUAGGAUACUAGACAAACUGAAACAUUUUUAACAAAAUUACAUUUGCUUUUUUUAUAUAUUUUUAAUGAAAAUGCUAUAUAUCUAAAGCUUAUGUAUCCGUUUCUCUCUUUGCCAGAAAAACAGCUGAAUUGGUGAUUAAUAGAGAAAACUGCUCCAGUUUGGUCUGGCAGGAUCAUCAUGUGGUUAAAGAUAGAUCUGGAUGUUCUUCAUCGCUUUCCCAUUUAGCUGAGCUGGAUCAUGAUGAAGUUGAGGGAGAGUUUGUUUGUCAAAGAAUUUAUGCAAAUGUACAGAAUGUGAACUUAAGACAUCAUCUAUCAAAAUGUCAAGACCACCAGCAAGACUCCAGCAAGAUAUCUAGAAAUUUCUAGACACUGCUAAAGCUUUGCAGUGCAGGGGAUAAUCUCUCUAAAUCACUUCAUUGAUAAAAGUGGCAGCAUUAUACAAAAGUCUGAAUGUAAAGUGAUUUUUAUUUUGCCUUUUAAGUGUGCUUAAAGUCUAACAUUAACUUUUGAGGGGGUGGAAGAGGAGUCUGAAAUUGUAUUUUCCUUAAUGUUGAAGAAUGGUUUAUCCUAUAACAAAUUCUAUUCUUAUUCAGUGAAGUUAGCCUUGAAAGAAGCUGACAUCUGACAUUCAUUAAAAGGAUGAAUGUCUGGCUUUAUCCAAAAGGUUUUGUUCACUCCUUAU